UGUUAAGCUGUGAGCUCACCAGGAAGCUCAUUCCCUAAAAUUAUUCUCUGGCUGGGAAAGACCCCUAGGUCACAUCAGUGGUUGGAAGAUGGGACAUUAAUAGCAACUUGUUCUGCCGUCACUCAGAAACUGUGUUUUCCUGUUGUCUCCCGUUCUCUGUUUCUUGCAGAUGUAGAAGCCUCCUGAUCAGCCUGUUGUCUCUCCGUGCUCAAGGUUUCACCUAUACAAAACAGGAGCUCUGGUAGCCUCUGCUGAGACUUUUCGGUAGAAAAUGCUUUGAAAAAGAAAAGAAAAGAGAGAAGCAGCUAUUUUGAAGACUGACUUUCUAAAAUUAUAUUUAGGAUUAAGCGGCUGUAACAUUGCCAUUCGUCGCCGAGGCUCCUGGUUUCAGCACGUCUCCUUGGUUCCCAGCCAGUCCUGGGUGUUCAGAAGCUCUUCUACCAGCAAAGAAAGAGGAUUUCUUCCCAUUUGGCUCCAGCCUGGAAACAAUCCCAAGAAUGACUUGUAUUGGAUCAAUGGAGGUUGCAUACUCCCUCCCAAACUGCACACCAAGCCAGGAAGAUGGGGUAAUAUGAUCGGUCCAAUCAAGAGUUCAUGUCGACCCUUAUCAUUAAGUGAGGACACAGUGAGAAGGUGGCCAUCUGCAAGCCAGGGAGACAGCUCUCACCAGAACCCAACCAUACUGCCACCCUGACCUCAGAUUUCCAGUCUCCAGAACUGUGAGAAAAUAAACUUCUGUCGUUUAAGCC